rnacentral:rRNA from 1 species
AUUGAACGCUGGCGGCAUGCUUUACACAUGCAAGUCGAACGGUAACAGGCCUUCGGGUGCUGACGAGUGGCGAACGGGGGCGUAAUGCAUCGGAACGUACCCAGAGGUGGGGGAUAACGCAGCGAAAGCUGUGCUAAUACUGCAUGUGAUCUGAGGAUGAAGGCGGGGGACCGAGCAGCAAUGUUUGGCCUCGCGCCUUUGGAGCGGCCGAUGUCGGAUUAGCUAGUUGGUGGGGUAAAGGCCUACCAAGGCGACGAUCCGUAGCUGGUCUGAGAGGAAGACCAGCCACACUGGGACUGAGACACGGCCCAGACUCCUACGGGAGGCAGCAGUGGGGAAUUUUGGACAAUGGGCGCAAGCCUGAUCCAGCAAUGCCGCGUGCGGGAAGAAGGCCUUCGGGUUGUAAACCGCUUUUGGCAGGAACGAAACGGUGUCCGCUAAUACCGGGCGCUAAUGACGGUACCUGCAGAAUAAGCACCGGCUAACUACGUG